rnacentral:rRNA from 1 species
UGCGUAGGUGGCGGGGUAAGUUUGAUGUGAAAUCUCCGGGCUUAACCCGGAAACUGCAUUGAAUACUAUUCUGCUCGAGGGUUGGGAGGGGGGGACUGGAAUACUUGGUGUAGCAGUGAAAUGCGUAGAUAUCAAGUGGAACACCAGUGGCGAAGGCGAGUCCCUGGACAACUCCUGACACUGAGGCACGAAAGCUAGGGGAGCAAACA